rnacentral:RNase_P_RNA from 1 species
GCGGGCGGCCGGAUGACCGCGACGGGGCCGAGGCCCCUUCGAGGAAAGUCCGGACUCCACGAAGCGACGGUGCCGGGUAACGCCCGGCGGGGGCAACCCCAGGGAAAGCGCCACAGAGAAGAGACUACCCGUGCCUGCACGGGCAAAGGUGAAACGGUGGGGCAAGAGCCCACCGCGGGACGGGUAACCGGACCGGCACGGCAAGCCCCACCGGGAGCAAUGCCGCAUAGGGGGUCCGCGCCGGGCUGAUCCCGAGGGGGGAGACCCCCGGAGGAUAUCGCCGGCAGGGAUGCUUCGGCCCGAGGACCCCGGGUUGGCAGCUGGACCCCACCCGCAAGGGCGGGGCGAGAGGAAUGGUCAUCCAAGGGGGGCGACCCCCGGGACAGAAUCCGGCUUACAGGCCGCCCGCGCAA